GGAGUUAGCCGGUGCUUCUUCUGCGAGUAACGUCACAGAUGUAAGGUAUUAACUUACACCCUUUCCUCCUCGCUGAAAGUGCUUUACAACCCGAAGGCCUUCUUCACACACGCGGCAUGGCUGCAUCAGGGUUUCCCCCAUUGUGCAAUAUUCCCCACUGCUGCCUCCCGUAGGAGUCUGGGCCGUGUCUCAGUCCCAGUGUGGCUGAUCAUCCUCUCAGACCAGCUAGGGAUCGUCGCCUAGGUGAGCCUUUACCUCACCUACUAGCUAAUCCCACCUGGGCUUAUCCAUCAGCGCAAGGCCCGAAGGUCCCCUGCUUUCCCCCGUACGGGCGUAUGCGGUAUUAGCAGUCGUUUCCAACUGUUAUCCCCCACAAAUGGGCAAAUUCCCAGGCAUUACUCACCCGUCCGCCGCUCGUCAUCUUCAAAGCAAGCUUUUAGAAAUGUUACCGCUCGACUUGCAUGUGUUAGGCCUGCCGCCAGCGUUCAAUCUGAGCCAUGAUCAAACUCUGA
rnacentral:rRNA from 1 species